UACUAUGAAGAGUUUGAUCCUGGCUCAGGAUGAACGCUAGCGGCAGGCCUAAUACAUGCAAGUCGAGGGGUAAGGCUCUUUCGGGAGUACACGACCGGCGCACGGGUGCGUAACGCGUAUGCAACCUACCUUUAACUGGGGAAUAGCCCCGAGAAAUCGGGAUUAAUACCUCAUAACACUGCGAAGUGGCAUCACUUUGCAAUUAAAGCUCCGGCGGUUAAAGAUGGGCAUGCGUGACAUUAGCUAGUUGGUGGGGUAACGGCCCACCAAGGCUACGAUGUCUAGGGGUUCUGAGAGGAUGAUCCCCCACACUGGUACUGAGACACGGACCAGACUCCUACGGGAGGCAGC
rnacentral:rRNA from 1 species